CACGUAGGGCGCAAGCGUUGUCCGGAAUUAUUGGGCGUAAAGAGCUCGUAGGCGGUCUGUUGCGUCCGCUGUGAAAACUCGGGGCUUAACCCCGAGCCUGCAGUGGAUACGGGCAGACUAGAGGUAGGUAGGGGAGAAUGGAAUUCCCGGUGUAGCGGUGAAAUGCGCAGAUAUCAGGAGGAACACCGGUGGCGAAGGCGGGUCUCUGGGCCGAUACUGACGCUGAGGAGCGAAAAGCGUGGGGGAGCAAAACAGG
rnacentral:rRNA from 1 species